rnacentral:rRNA from 1 species
CACGUAGGGGACGAGCGUUGUCCGGAUUCAUUGGGCGUAAAGCGCGCGUAGGCGGCUCGGAAAGUCGGGCGUGAAAUCUCGGAGCUUAACUCCGAAACUGCAUUCGAUACUGCCGUGCUUGAGGACUGGAGAGGAGACUGGAAUUUACGGUGUAGCGGUGAAAUGCGUAGAUAUCGUAAGGAAGACCAGUGGCGAAGGCGGGUCUCUGGACAGUUCCUGACGCUGAGGCACGAAGGCUAGGGGAGCAAACGGG